UACGGAGGGGGCUAGCGUUGUUCGGAAUUACUGGGCGUAAAGGGCGCGCAGGCGGCUGCUCAAGUCAGGCGUGAAAGGCCUGGGCUCAACCCGGGAAUUGCGCUUGAGACUGGGCUGGCUUGAGUGCGGGAGAGGAUGGUGGAAUUCCCAGUGUAGUGGUGAAAUGCGUAGAUAUCGGGAGGAACACCAGUGGCGAAGGCGACUACCUGGCCUGUUCUUGACGCUGAGGCGCGAAAGCUAGGGGAGCAAACAGG
rnacentral:rRNA from 1 species